GAGACGUCCCAGAGCAGUUCUGGGACCAGUCUCAGUUUCACAGGUGGCAAAUGGUGAGGAAGGAAGGGCUGGAAGGAGAGGAACAGCUCUGUGAAUAGAGAUCAGAACACUAACAUCCAAUAAAAAGGAGACUAUACCUCUGAUGAAUAUUUUUGUGCAAAGUUUAAUCUCCUCAGCUGUAAUUCUAAGCAAAAAUCAAAAUAAACCAUAAAAUAAAUAGAGCUUUUUAAGAAUUGUAUGCUGAUUGCUGAUGUAAUUUCUUCUUUUGAUUUGUCCUUACAAUAUUUUUUCUUUUUUUCUUUUUUUUUUUUCUCCAGCUACAGGAAUCCCAGUUUCAGUGGAAAAAGAAACUCCCGACCUGCCAAAAUACAAGUUUUCAGGUUACCGAAGCCUCUACGGAAACCAAAAGGAAGAGACCCUGCUCCCCAGCCUGAGAAGCAGCAGAGGAGGUUUAUUACGGAGUAUGAAAAUCAGGAAGCUUUUUGUUCACUUCAUACAUCUCCUCCAACAAAGCCAGGCAUCAGCACCCCGGCACAGACUCCGGAGUGAUUAUUGUUACACAUGAUCUAUGGAGCAGAUAAAUUACAGCUUGAUUUUUAUAAGAGGCGCCGGAGCCCCGGAAAGCGGUGGGGUAGAGCUGUGAAUCCUAGCAACAGGAGGAGAGAGAGAACUGUACGUUUCUUCACGUCCUCCAAGCGCUGGUGCCUUCUGGUACAUCAUUUACAGGGAGCAACAGAGACCUUGGAAAGGCCCUUCAUGCCGUUACAUCAAGAAAGGGACAGUUUUCCCAGCAGGGUGGGUGAAUUAUUACAUUUUGGGGGAAAAAGCAAACAAAGCAGCACACCAGAGCUCAUCCUGGUGCUGCCGUUGCGCUUUCCUUCAUCAUCACGCGCUGCCUAUCGUUGAGGGGUUUUCUCAAUUUUCUAUGCUUUUAGU
rnacentral:lncRNA from 1 species